rnacentral:rRNA from 1 species
UACGUAGGAGGCAAGCGUUGUCCGGAAUACUGGGCGUAAAGCGCGUGUAGGUGGUGGGACAAGUCUGCUGUGAAAGCGCCUGGCUUAACCGGGCGAGGUCGGCGGAAACUGUCCGACUAGAGGACGGUAGAGGGGGGUGGAAUUCCCGGUGUAGUGGUGAAAUGCGUAGAGAUCGGGAGGAACACCUGUGGCGAAGGCGGCCCCCUGGGCCGGCCCUGACACUGAGACGCGAAGGCGUGGGGAGCGAACGGG